UAACACAUGCAAGUCGAACGAGAAAGCCCUUCGGGGUGAGUACAGUGGCGGACGGGUGAGUAACGCGUAGGAAUCUACCCAGUAGCGGGGGAUAACUUGGGGAAACUCAAGCUAAUACCGCAUACGCUCUACGGAGGAAAGAGGGCCUCUAUUUAUAAGCUCUCACUAUUGGAGGAGCCUGCGUUGGAUUAGCUAGUUGGUGGGGUAAAGGCUCACCAAGGCGACGAUCCAUAGCUGGUCUGAGAGGACGAUCAGCCACACCGGAACUGAGACACGGUCCGGACUCCUACGGGAGGCAGCAGUGGGGAAUCUUGGGCAAUGGGCGCAAGCCUGACCCAGCCAUGCCGCGUGUGUGAAGAAGGCCUUCGGGUUGUAAAGCACUUUCAGUGGCGAAGAAAAGCCUGGAGCUAAUACCUUCGGGUCUUGCGUAACC
rnacentral:rRNA from 1 species